AUGAAGCUACAUAAGGUUGACGUGAUGCCAGAAUUAUGUGCCAGUGAUGGGCGUAUUCCUUUGAAUGCACAGACCUGUCACUCUGACAGAGGUUUAUGCCAUGGCAGAAGAGUUGUGGUGACCGGUUUGGAGCACAAUGUUGAACUGUCAAGCUUUGUAGUAUUGUGUAUCAUAACUUGAACACUUGUUUCACUGUCAUUGUAUAUCAUUCCCAGAACAGUUUGAGAAAGUAACUGCUUGUUUUUGAUUUCUCAGUUGUUUGUAUACUUUUUUUUUUAAUUGACACUACUUUUACGUUUAAUAAAAAUCACUGUUACAGCUCAAUAUGAAGUUGCUGAUUUUUUAUGGAAGUAGCAGGUCCACCUUGUAGGCUUAU
rnacentral:lncRNA from 1 species